rnacentral:lncRNA from 1 species
UGGCUACAGAUCUGGCUUGCAGACGCAGGCACUGAGUCAAUGGGAUGGAAUAGAUCUUUCCACUUUGUAUCUUUUUAUACUUUUUGAGUUUUCAUAUAUGGUAAUAUAUUAUUUAUUUUUUAAAUUAUUUUUAAUAAAGAAAGAAGGGGAGAGGAGUGGGAGGAGAAAACAGAAAAGCAACAGCAAAAUCUCAUAUAUUUGGGCAGCAUCAAAUUCCAAAUUGUGUUCACUUUCUAACAGCCUGUUAAAGCAUAAGGUACCUGAGAUAUCCUCACUACAACCAAUCCAUGACCAGAUGUUUGUUCAUUUAGGUGACCCUGUACUGCUUCUUAAUACAGCCUAGGAGGGCACAAAGGAAGGUAGAAUGAGCAUGCAGAGGGAACCAGGCUGCAAAGAUGCAACCCAGAACUAAGAAAAGCCAACUGAAGACAACUGAUGAUAAAUACAAGGAGUGUUCUCUGGCAUUGCCUCAGUCUUGCAUCAUUUCUUUUUCCUCAACAGCUGGUAAGAAUUCAGUAAGUAAAAAUGAACUGGCCACAGGUUGGCUUUGUUCUAUUAAUUGUACACAACACUCUUAGAUCAUGGUCAUUUUAAUCAUGGGCCAUAGAGUUUUCAGAGCAACAGAAGUCACUUGGAAUUGGUUACACAGAGAAAUACCUUCUCCCUCAAGAUUUCUGCUCAUCUUCCUGGCUAUCAAAGAAAACGUUUCAAAU